UACGUAGGGUGCAAGCGUUGUCCGGAAUUAUUGGGCGUAAAGAGCUCGUAGGCGGUGUGUCGCGUCGGCCGUGAAAACCUGCAGCUUAACUGUGGGCUUGCGGUCGAUACGGGCAUCACUGGAGUUCGGCAGGGGAGACUGGAAUUCCUGGUGUAGCGGUGAAAUGCGCAGAGUAUCAGGAGGAACACCGGUGGCGAAGGCGGGUCUCUGGGCCGAUGACUGACGCUGGAGGCACGAAAGCGUGGGGAGCAAACAGG
rnacentral:rRNA from 1 species